CCCUUAAAAAGGGUGAAUAGGUCUAGGGUUCGAAACACAAAUCAUCGGUCCAGCAUCCAUUGCCCAAAAAAAUAGUUCCCGAGAAGUAGAAAGCAUAAAUGCAAGAAAAAUAAAUGGAUCAACCAAACGAGGACCAAGAGGAACCUCCAAUUGUGAAGCUAUUGGGCGUGAAUAAGAAUAAGAAUAAGAAUAAAACAGGGGUUUAUCCGCCAAGGAUGAGAAUGACAACUGGAGUAAAAGUGAAGAAGAAUAAGGGUGGUCUCGUUGCAGUGGACUCCGCAGCACAGUAUCCUACGGGCUCUGCGGAGGAUUGCUGCAAUGCCCCUAAUGUUACAGUUUUGAAGUUCGAUAAUUCGGCGGAGAAUCACUUCAGGGCCAUUGACAUGAUUUCUUAGCUCUGUGGAGAGCCUGAAGACGGUGCUCUUGAAAAACAAGAAAUUCAGCAACUGUCCUCCUCAAUCACUUUCGUAAGAGAAUGGAAGUAUUUUAAUUACGAACCAAAAAUCGUCAGGUUCGCUUCUAUAGUAGGAAACAUUGAAGGGAAAGAUGUUGUUAGCGGAAUAGAGUCGCCUCAACUAUAUUCUGCAGCUGUUCCUAAGGAGUUGUUAAUAAUAUUGAACAUUGGCAAUUCAUAUGAUCUUUCAACUUGCAUACUUUGUAGAAUGAGGAACCUUCUGGGGGUGCUGCUACACAUGCGAAAUCAACCGGGUACUUUCAUGGGACUUGGCUUGGGACAAUAUCGAUUUUACAAUUA